rnacentral:rRNA from 1 species
AUUGAACGCUGGCGGCAUGCCUUACACAUGCAAGUCGAACGGUAACAGGUCUUCGGAUGCUGCCGAGUGGCGAACGGGUGAGUAAUUCAUCGGAACGUGCCCGAUCGUGGGGGAUAACGAAGCGAAAGCUUUGCUAAUACCGCAUACGAUCUACGGAUGAAAGCAGGGGACCGCAAGGCCUUGCGCGAACGGAGCGGCCGAUGGCAGAUUAGGUAGUUGGUGGGAUAAAAGCUUACCAAGCCGACGAUCUGUAGCUGGUCUGAGAGGACGACCAGCCACACUGGGACUGAGACACGGCCCAGACUCCUACGGGAGGCAGCAGUGGGGAAUUUUGGACAAUGGGCGAAAGCCUGAUCCAGCCAUGCCGCGUGCAGGAUGAAGGCCUUCGGGUUGUAAACUGCUUUUGUACGGAACGAAAAGACUCUGGUUAAUACCUGGGGUCCAUGACGGUACCGUAAGAAUAAGCACCGGCUAACUACGUG